UACGGAGGGUGCAAGCGUUGUCCGGAAUCACUGGGCGUAAAGGGCUCGUAGGCGGUUUGUCGCGUCGGGAGUGAAAAUCCACUGGCUUAACUGGUGGCUUGCUUUCGAUACGGGCAGACUGGAGGUAUGCAGGGGAGAACGGAAUUCCUGGUGUAGCGGUGAAAUGCGCAGAUAUCAGGAGGAACACCGGUGGCGAAGGCGGGUCUCUGGGCCGAUACUGACGCUGAGGAGCGAAAGCGUGGGGAGCGAACAGG
rnacentral:rRNA from 1 species